AAGAAUCAGCCCCUGAGGUCUCCAGGAAGUACCUUGAUUUGAAAGAGCUGUGACCAACCUCAGUGGCAUCUCCAACUACCACGCUGCAGAAGUCUGUGAGGCCGUGGUCCUCAGCCCUUUGCACAGAUUAAAACCCCAAUCCCAGCCGCACCCCAGACCAAUCAAUCAGGAUCUCUGGAGAUGGGGCCCAGGCAUCUAUAUAUAUAUAUAUAUAUAUAUUUUUUUUUUUUUUAAUUCCUCAGAUGAUUCCAAUGUACAGCCAAUGAUGAGCAGCUGCUGGGCUGAAGGGACUGGGGCCAUUUUAUACCAGUUGUAGGAUGUUACACAGAAAUGCCUGAAAAGCAAGGAGCAGCUAUCAGAAUGUUUGGUGACACAGCUCCUCCUGUCGUGGUUCCUUCGGCAUGGACUUCACAUUCAGCAGAUCCAUGAGGUGUUCCCUUUCGGAUGAGCUCCAAGGUCUUAAGAGAGCAUCUCUAGUCUGCGUGAGUCCGUCUGAACGACGGUCCUGAGCAAGAACCACCUAUAACCAUCUACUCAAAAUAACUCAGGGGAAAUCAAAGCUUUCUAUGUGGAAGGUGACUGAAACCACAUACACAGACCACUGCAGCAUUCCUGACAUUAUGGAACUUGGAAAUGAUUCCAAACAUGGCCAUAGCUUGAGUAACAUGUUUUGCUAUGACAAGAACUUGGAGUGUAGUCCUUCCCCCCCUCAAGAAUGUGACAUCACACCUUAUCAGAUCCUACGAGUGAGCUACUGACCUCAACCACUGAACUUCAAACUAUAUAAAAACCUAAGGGUUUGACAGACAC
rnacentral:lncRNA from 1 species